rnacentral:rRNA from 1 species
UUGAACGCUGGCGGCAUGCCUUACCCAUGCAAGUCGAACGGCAGCACGGGUGCUUGCACCUGGUGGCGAGUGGCGAACGGGUGAGUAAUACAUCGGAACAUGUCCUGUAGUGGGGGAUAGCCCGGCGAAAGCCGGAUUAAUACCGCAUACGAUCUACGGAUGAAAGCGGGGGACCUUCGGGCCUCGCGCUAUAGGGUUGGCCGAUGGCUGAUUAGCUAGUUGGUGGGGUAAAGGCCUACCAAGGCGACGAUCAGUAGCUGGUCUGAGAGGACGACCAGCCACACUGGGACUGAGACACGGCCCAGACUCCUACGGGAGGCAGCAGUGGGGAAUUUUGGACAAUGGGCGAAAGCCUGAUCCAGCAAUGCCGCGUGUGUGAAGAAGGCCUUCGGGUUGUAAAGCACUUUUGUCCGGAAAGAAAUCCUUGGCCCUAAUACGGUCGGGGGAUGACGGUACCGGAAGAAUAAGCACCGGCUAACUACGUG